AGUGGCGGACGGGUGAGUAACGCGUGGGUAACCUGCCUCAUACAGGGGGACAACAGUUAGAAAUGACUGCUAAUACCGCAUAAGACCACAGCACCGCAUGGUGCAGGGGUAAAAACUCCGGUGGUAUGAGAUGGACCCGCGUCUGAUUAGGUAGUUGGUGGGGUAACGGCCUACCAAGCCGACGAUCAGUAGCCGACCUGAGAGGGUGACCGGCCACAUUGGGACUGAGACACGGCCCAA
rnacentral:rRNA from 1 species